rfam:Myotis lucifugus cont2.8673, whole genome shotgun sequence.
GGCAGUUCUCAGGUGACGCACCCUGGACUCGAUCUCCCUCCUCUCUGGUUCUGGGGUGCAUCACCCGAGAACUGCC